CCUACGGGUGGCAGCAGUGGGGAAUAUUGGGCAAUGGGCGCAAGCCUGACCCAGCAACGUCGCGUGAAGGAAGACGGCUUUCGGGUUGUAAACUUCUUUUCUGAGGGACGAAGAAAGUGACGGUACCUCAGGUAUAAGCCACGGCUAACUACGGGCCAGCAGCCGCGGUAAUACGUAGGUCGCAAGCGUUAUCCGGAUUUAUUGGGUGUAAAGGGCGUGUAGGCGGGAAAGCAAGUCAGAUGUGAAAACUAAGGGCUGCACCCUGGGCCUGCAUUUGAAACUGUUUUUCUUGAGUGCUGGAGAGGCAGUCGGAAUGCGGGGUGUAGCGGUGAAAUGCAUAGAUAUACGGAAGAACACCGGUGGCGAAGGCGGAUUGCUGGACAGUAACUGACGCUGAGGCGCGAAAGCGUGGGGAGCGAACAGGAUUAGAUACCCGAGUAGUC
rnacentral:rRNA from 1 species